rnacentral:rRNA from 1 species
CCUACGGGCGGCAGCAGUGGGGAAUAUUGGUCAAUGAGCGCGAGCCUGAACCAGCCAAGUAGCGUGAAGGAUGACUGCCCUACGGGUUGUAAACUUCGUUUAUAAAGGAAUAAAGUGAGGCACGUGUGCCUUUUUAUAUGUACUUUAUGAAUAAGGAUCGGCUAACUCCGUGCCAGCAGCCGCGGUACUCCGUGGGAUACGAGCGUUAUCCGGAUUUAUUGGGUUUAAAGGGUGCGUAGGCUGGCUGUUAUGUCAGCGGUAAAAGCACGGGGCGCAACCCCGGCGAGCAGUUGAAACUGGCGAGCUGGAGUUGGAGAGAAGUACGCGGGAUGCGCGGUGUAGCGGUGAAAUGCUUAGAUAUCGCGCAGAACCCCGAUUGCGAAGGCAGCGUACCGGCUCCACACUGACGCUGAGGCACGAAAGCGUGGGUAUCGAACAGGAUUAGAUACCCCUGUAGUC